rnacentral:rRNA from 1 species
AUUGAACGCUGGCGGCAGGCUUAACACAUGCAAGUCGAGCGGAGCGAGGGUGCUUGCACCUUAGCUUAGCGGCGGACGGGGGAGUAAUGCUUAGGAAUCUGCCUAUUAGUGGGGGACAACAUUCCGAAAGGAAUGCUAAUACCGCAUACGUCCUACGGGGGAAAGCAGGGGAUCUUCGGACCUUGCGCUAAUAGAUGAGCCUAAGUCGGAUUAGCUAGUUGGUGGGGUAAAGGCCUACCAAGGCGACGAUCUGUAGCGGGUCUGAGAGGAUGAUCCGCCACACUGGGACUGAGACACGGCCCAGACUCCUACGGGAGGCAGCAGAGGGGAAUAUUGGACAAUGGGCGGAAGCCUGAUCCAGCCAUGCCGCGUGUGUGAAGAAGGCCUUUUGGUUGUAAAGCACUUUAAGCGAGGAGGAGGCUACUAGUAUUAAUACUACUGGAUAGUGGACGUUACUCGCAGAAUAAGCACCGGCUAACUCUGUGCCAGCAGCCGCGGUAAUAC